rnacentral:rRNA from 1 species
GCGCCCGCUGACGACCGGCGCACGGGUGCGUAACGCGUAUGCAAUCUACCUUUUACAGGGGGAUAGCCCAGAGAAAUUUGGAUUAAUACCUCAUAGUAUAUGGCCUUGGCAUCAAGGCCAUAUUAAAGAUUUAUCGGUAAAAGAUGAGCAUGCGUUCUAUUAGCUGGAUGGUAAGGUAACGGCUUACCAUGGCGACGAUAGAUAGGGGCCCUGAGAGGGGGAUCCCCCACACUGGUACUGAGACACGGACCAGACUCCUACGGGAGGCAGCAGUGAGGAAUAUUGGACAAUGGGCGGGAGCCUGAUCCAGCCAUGCCGCGUGCAGGAAGACUGCCCUAUGGGUUGUAAACUGCUUUUGUACAGGAAGAAACACUCCCUCGUGAGGGAGCUUGACGGUACUGUAAGAAUAAGGAUCGGCUAACUCCGUGCCAGCAGCCGCGGUAAUACGGAGGAUCCAAGCGUUAUCCGGAAUCAUUGGGUUUAAAGGGUCCGUAUGUGGAUGAUUAAGUCAGAGGUGAAAUCCUGCAGCUCAACUGUAGAAUCGCCUUUGAUACUGGUUGUCUUGAAUUAUUGUGAAGUAGUUAGAAUAUGUGGUGUAGCGGUGAAAUGCAUAGAUAUCACAUAGAAUACCGAUUUGCGAAGGCAGAUUACUAACAAUACAUUGACACUGAUG